UAAUCCUAAGCACAAAUUUAAAAGUUAAGAAUUGAAAAGAUCUGACUGAUGGGUAGCAAUCCAAAAGGCAAGAAUGCCAUAUAGAAACCCCAAAUUCCCUUGGAUAUUAGAACAAGCAACAAAUAAUGCAUACAAUAUUAUCUUGAAGAGCAAGGCAUCAAAUAAAGAUAGCCCCAUCCAAGCUUUAGCCACUCCAUAAUCUUCUU
rnacentral:lncRNA from 1 species